ACCUAAGGAACGCAGACUAAGAUCGCCACGUCCUGUGGCAAAGUCUGCAUGACCCACACCUGUGGG
rnacentral:sRNA from 1 species